rnacentral:rRNA from 1 species
CGGUUAAAAGCUCGUAGUUGGAGUUCUGCCAGGUGCCACCUGUCCGCCCCAGUGGUGACUUCUGUGGUGCGCAUUUGGCCCUUUCAAGGGGAGUGUAUUUGCACUUAAUGGGGGGGGGCGGAAUCCUUGACUUUUACUUUGAGGAAAUAAAAGGGUUCCAAGCAGGUUCUCGUCGGGCAUAGCUCAGCAGGGAAUAAUAGCAUGGGACCUCGAUUCUAAGCUGUGGGUUGCCAAAAGCGAGGAAAUGAUGAAGAGGGAUAGUGGGGGGAAUUCGAAUUUAACUGCCAAAGGGGAAAUUCUUGGAUUUGUUAAAGACGGACUACUGCGAAAGCAUCUGCCAUGGAUGUUUUCAUUGACCAAAAACGAAAGUUAGGGGAUCAAAAACAAUCAAAUACCGUCCUAGCCUUACCUAUAAACCAUGCCGGUUAAAAAUCGAAGGCUGUUCGUUUUGGGACGCCUUCACCAUCUUGAAAGAAAUCAAAGCCUUUGGUUUCCGGGGGGAGUAUGGUCGCAAGGCUGAAACUUAAAGGAAUUGACGAAAG